AGCUUUUACCAUUAAUAAAAAAGAUCGGAUAAAAUUUAUUCGUCUUUUGAAAACAACAAAACAAUCUGUUUCAGCAACAUUAGAUAAUUCUGAAUCUAGCUAUACUGCAGUUGUAUCAAGUGUUAUCAGUGUAAAUAAUGAAAAGGGCUAAACAACAAACAGUGGCAGUUUUCCAGAAAUUGAAGAAGCUGAAUGUGUACAUAGCCAGGUGCAAGAAUUUCCUUUUGUAUAUCAGUUGCCACUUUUUCCGGAUAAUGUUGUAGCUAAGCUACAAUGUCAAGACAAGGCUAGUUUUGGAUUAUGCUCAAAAAGCAAAGCGCUCUUAAUUGAUGCACUAUUUGAUGACUUAAAAAGGCGUGACAUUUUGUAUCCAACCAGAAGAAUAUAUUCUGCUGUUAGCUCAGCAGUUAUAUUAAAAUAUCCUUUUUUGGCUGAUUAUGAUGGAAGUAGUGUAAUGCAAUUACCAUUUUAUAUAUUAUUGAUUAUAUUU
rnacentral:lncRNA from 1 species